rnacentral:rRNA from 1 species
UACGUAGGUGGCAAGCGUUGUCCGGAUUUAUUGGGCGUAAAGGGCGCGCAGGCGGCCCGGCGCGUCCGCGGUGAAAGCUCCCGGCUCAACUGGGAGAGGUCCGCGGAAACGGUCGGGCUCGAGCAAGGUAGGGGGUCGUGGAAUUCCCGGUGUAGUGGUGGAAUGCGUAGAGAUCGGGAGGAACACCAGUGGCGAAGGCGGCGACCUGGACCUGUGCUGACGCUGAGGCGCGAAAGCGUGGGGAGCGAUCCGG